rnacentral:misc_RNA from 1 species
GAUGAAGAACGCAGCGAAAUGCGAUAAGUAAUGCGAAUUGCAGAAUUUCCGUGAGUCAUCGAAUCUUUGAACGCACAUUGCGCCCUUUGGUAUUCCUUAGGGCAUGCCUGUUCGAGCGUCAUUUCAACCCUCAAGCCCUGCUUGGUGUUGGGCGUUUGUCCUGCCUCCGCGCGGGACUCGCCUCAAAGACAUUGGCGGCCGGUUUCCCUUUGCAGGCCACGAGCGCAGCACAGCGAGCGCUCUACGUGGACGCGGGGUCGGCGCACCAGAAGCCCUCUUUCUCGAAUUUUGACCUCGGAUCAGGUAGGGAUACCCGCUGAACUUAAGCAUAUCAAUAAGCGGAGGA